AAGUUGCAUCCCCAAAUGCGAGGCUGGCCUGACCAAAAAGAGCCAGUCGGCGCCCGGAAGAGGCGAGACUCGCGCUUGGGAAUCCGCGGGCCCGGAUGCUGCCCAGCUGACCCUCCUGCCCCGGGCCUGGCUGCAGAGAAAGUCUUCGGGCAGGAGGCCAUCCUGUUCCUGUCUUUAAAAUGAGCACAAUAAAAGGGGGCAAAUCCUCGAACGCGAACCUGAUCUCAUGUCACAGAAGCAACUUGCCAUGAAAUCCGCUAAUGCGCUGCGACUCGCCCACCAGGGCAGCGUGCGGCGGCCGAACUGCACCUGCGUUUGUGAGCCUUGUAGAAAUGGAGCCCACCGGAUUCCCUCACCCGGAGAAAUGCCCAAACUGAAACUUGACUACACUUCCCUGGGCUGGUUCACGGUUUCAUAAUCUCCCAGGUUUGCUGGCUGUGUCACCAAAUCCAAGCCAAACCUGCUAUAAACAUGAUCACAGGCCACUGACCUCGCAGCACUGACCGAUAACUCGGUGGCAAAAUCAGCUCCUCUGGUCAGAGGUUAUUAAAGCAGCGGCUGAAUUCGUGUUUGUUUUUUUGAAGUGGUCAGAAAAACGUAGUCUUCUUAAACCUACAAAAACAGUCAAACACAUUUGCAAAUGUGCUUUACUUGUAUUGGUUCGAGUGCUGGAAGCUGUCUGGCGGUGAGCUUUUUCGUUGCGUGUGGUUUAUGCAGAGCACCCGGGAUGUUUUUCUCGUCUUUUACGUCUUGGUAUCUUUUAAAAAUGUAGAAUGUGUCUCUGAUUGUUUCACAGUAUGUUCCUUAACAACCAGAUAUGUAAGAAAACGUUUGGGAUUGAGUGGUGAGAAAAGCAGACUGGAAAGUACAAAUAAACCCAAUCCAAAUGGAAAACAAAUUAAACAGAUGAAAUGAUUAUGAAAGAAGAUGGGGGAAUUAACUUGUCUGGAAAAAAUCGAGUUUAGGGUCUGAACUUUACAGAUUAAAUGGCAACACAGAACAAAUCCAAAGGAAUUAAAUCUAUUCUUUUGCCCUCCUAGGCAUCUGGGUCAGAUGCACAUUUUGAGGCAUUUCAACAGACAGAUCAGCUCUGGGACACUUGCACACUUUUUUGGUAAACUGCAACCUAUUACGUGACCUUUAAUCCUGGUGGAAAACAAUUUAAAAUGUAUUCCUGGCUUUAGGAAACAAAAGAAAAAUUUUAAACCCUGGCAGUUAAAUUAUUACUGGUCUCUACAGGGUUAAUUUAAUGUAAAUAAUCUACUCUCCUGAGGGAAAAGGUGGAGGCCUGGCAUUCUGGAAGGGCCAGUCAGGUGGUGACAAAACUGUGUGCCUUGGGGUUUUGAGGGGUGUGUUGGGUGGCUCUGAACCUGGCUUUGGGUUUGUUACAUCUCUCGCUCUCUUAAAACAGUAACUCAAGAUGUAAGUAAAAGUGUUUUCAUUUUUUA
rnacentral:lncRNA from 1 species